UCUGAAAACAGGGUAACGGAGUCAAGAUGCCAUAUUUCACAUUAAGUGAAUGUGAUUAACCACUCCUUUGUUUGUUUACAAUUGAGAAUACAACGGUUUAGUUGCAAGGAACUUACAAAGUAACCACCCACGAUUAAAGUCUAAUACCUUAUCAACAAUAUUUGUUUGAAAGCAUCUUAGUAACCUGCUUGAAUUAACCGAUGGAAAUGGAUUCUUCCAGUUACUUGGCAUUGUGCGGGAGUGUAAAAUGGCGGCGUGUUUGGCCUUCUUUGAGACCAGUGCAUUGUGCCAUAGUGCCAGAAUUGACUGCAUGUAUGGAAGUGGUCAUAGAAAAGGGAGAGGAUAAAACAAUGCCAAAAGGAAGUGAAUCCCCACCUCUCCAGCACCAGCACGUUAUCCGGCUUGAGGUCUCCGUGGAUGACGUCACAGGCGUGCAUGGUUUGAAGCAUGCGCAGUAAGGCAACGGUUAGAGCCAUCGCGACUUCCUCGGAGAUCCGCUGACCGUUACUCUUGUACUUAUUAGCGACGUCCUGAGAAGAUGAGUGAGGUUUCAAGUAUAA